AAUAUUAGUUAAGAACUUUAAACCCAAAGAAUUUGGCGGUAACUUAUCCCAUUCAGAGGAACCUAUCCCGUAAUUGAUAGUACACGAUUUACUUUACUUAAUUUAUUUGUUUGUAUAUCUCCGUUAUCAGAAGAUCUUUAUAGAGUUAUAAUUUUCUUAAUUUAUAAUUAUAAAAAAUUUCAGGUCAAGGUGCAGCUAAUAAUUAAGAGGAGAUGGGUUACAAUAAAUUUUAUUUAUAACGGAUUUUUUAUGAAAAAAAUAAUGAAGGUGGAUUUGAUAGUAAUUUGAUUUAUUUAAAUUAAUUGAUAUUGGCUCUAAGGUGUGU
rnacentral:rRNA from 1 species